UUAAAUUGAAGAGUUUGAUCAUGGCUCAGAUUGAACGCUGGCGGCAGGCCUAACACAUGCAAGUCGAACGGUAACAGGAAGCAGCUUGCUGUUUUGCUGACGAGUGGCGGACGGGUGAGUAAUGUCUGGGAAACUGCCUGAUGGAGGGGGAUAACUACUGGAAACGGUAGCUAAUACCGCAUAACGUCGCAAGACCAAAGAGGGGGACCUUAGGGCCUCUUGCCAUCGGAUGUGCCCAGAUGGGAUUAGCUAGUAGGUGGGGUAACGGCUCACCUAGGCGACGAUCCCUAGCUGGUCUGAGAGGAUGA
rnacentral:rRNA from 1 species